rnacentral:tRNA from 1 species
GUGGGUAUAGCUCAGUUGGUUAGAGCGCCAGGUUGUGGCCCUGGAGGUCAUGGGUUCGAUUCCCAUUAUUCACCCCA